rnacentral:rRNA from 1 species
UACGGGGGGGGCAAGCGUUGUUCGGAAUUACUGGGCGUAAAGGGCGCGUAGGCGGUUCGCUAAGUCGGAUGUGAAAACUCUGGGCUCAACCCAGAGCCUGCAUCCGAAACUGGCGGGCUAGAGUUCUGGAGGGGGUAGCGGAAUUCCUGGUGUAGCGGUGAAAUGCGUAGAUAUCAGGAGGAACACCGGUGGCGAAGGCGGCUACCUGGACAGAAACUGACGCUGAGGCGCGAAAGCUAGGGGAGCAAACGGG